rnacentral:rRNA from 1 species
AGCGGCGGACGGGUGAGUAACGCGUGGGUAACCUGCCUCAUACAGGGGGAUAACAGUUGGAAACGGCUGCUAAUACCGCAUAAGCGCACAGUACCGCAUGGUACGGUGUGAAAAACUCCGGUGGUAUGAGAUGGACCCGCGUCUGAUUAGCCAGUUGGCGGGGUAACGGCCCACCAAAGCGACGAUCAGUAGCCGGCCUGAGAGGGUGAACGGCCACAUUGGGACUGAGACACGGCCCAA